UACGGAGGGAGCAAGCGUUACUCGGAAUUAUUGGGCGUAAAGGGCGCGUAGGCGAUUCGAUAAGUCUCAUGUGAAAUCCCAGGGCCUAACCCUGGAAUGGCAUGGGAUACUGUUGGAUUUGAGUUCCGGAGAGGAAGGCAGAAUUCCCGGUGUAGCGGUGAAAUGCGUAGAUAUCGGGAGGAAUACCAGUGGCGAAGGCGGCCUUCUGGACGGAUACUGACGCUGAGGCGCGAAAGCCAGGGGAGCAAAGCGGGG
rnacentral:rRNA from 1 species